AACGAACGCUGGCGGCAUGCCUAACACAUGCAAGUCGAACGAGACCUUCGGGUCUAGUGGCGCACGGGUGCGUAACGCGUGGGAAUCUGCCCUUCGGUUCGGAACAACAGUUAGAAAUGACUGCUAAUACCGGAUGAUGACUUCGGUCCAAAGAUUUAUCGCCGAGGGAUGAGCCCGCGUAGGAUUAGCUAGUUGGUGGGGUAAAGGCCUACCAAGGCGACGAUCCUUAGCUGGUCUGAGAGGAUGAUCAGCCACACUGGGACUGAGACACGGCCCAGACUCCUACGGGAGGCAGCAGUGGGGAAUAUUGGACAAUGGGCGAAAGCCUGAUCCAGCAAUGCCGCGUGAGUGAUGAAGGCCUUAGGGUUGUAAAGCUCUUUUACCAGGGAUGAUAAUGACAGUACCUGGAGAAUAAGCUCCGGCUAACUCCGUG
rnacentral:rRNA from 1 species